UGGGGUGUUGCCUAGAGCGCAGAUGAUGGGUUGCAGUAGUGCAAGCCAUACCCUGUAAUAAUGAGCAAUCACCGUGUAGUCGAUUUUACAGACGACGACAACAAGGUGAAUGAACAGGUUAUAGGUUGAGGCCACGGAAAGCAAGCACAC